rnacentral:rRNA from 1 species
GACAGAGGUGCCAAGCGUUAGGCGGAAUCACUGGGCUUAAAGCGCGUGUAGGUGGCGGCCUAAGUACCUUGUGAAAUCCUGCGGCUCAACCGCAGAACUGCUUGGUAUACUGGGUCUCUUGAGUCAUCCAGGGGCAACUGGAACAAGCGGUGGAGCGGUGAAAUGCGUAGAUAUCGCUUGGAACGCCAAAGGUGAAAGCAGGUUGCUGGGGAUGUUCUGACACUGAGACGCGAAAGCCAGGGGAGCGAACGGG